rnacentral:rRNA from 1 species
AUUGAACGCUAGCGGGAUGCUUUACACACGCAAGUCGAACGAGUGGCGGACGGGUGAGUAAUAUAUCGGAACGUGCCCAGUAGCGGGGGAUAACUACUCGAAAGAGUGGCUAAUACCGCAUACUAUUGGAGCGGCCGAUAUCGGAUUAGCUAGUAGGUGGGGUAAAGGAUCACCUAGGCGACGAUCCCUAGCUGGUCUGAGAGGAUGACCAGCCACACUGGAACUGAGCCACGGUCCUGACGCCUACGGGAGGCAGCAGUGGGGAAUAGUGCACAACGGGCCCAAGCCUGAUGCAUCCAUGCCUCGGGUAUGAAGAAGGCCUUCGGGGUGUAAAGUACUUUCAGCGGGGAGGCGUUGCCCGCAGAAGUAGCACCGGCUAACUCCGUGCCAGCAGUCGCGGUAAUUC